rnacentral:rRNA from 1 species
UACGGAGGGUGCAAGCGUUGCUCGGAAUUAUUGGGCGUAAAGGGUAGGUAGGUGGUCUCGUUUGUCUGGGGUGAAAGCCUUGAGCUUAACUCAAGAAGUGCCCUAGAAACGGCGAGACUAGAGUCCUGGAGAGGGUCGUGGAAUUCCCGGUGUAGCGGUGAAAUGCGUAGAGAUCGGGAGGAACACCAGAGGCGAAGGCGGCGACCUGGACAGGUACUGACACUCAACUACGAAAGCGUGGGGAGCAAACAGG